CGCACAUUGCGCCCGCCGGCACUCCGGCGGGCAUGCCUGUCCGAGCGUCAUUUCAACCCUCAGGCCCACCCUUCCGGGGGAGCGGGCCUGGUUCUGGGGAUCGGCGGCCCUCGAGGCCCCCGUCCCUCAAAUUCAGUGGCGGUCGCGCCGCAGCCUCCCCUGCGUAGUAGCACAACCUCGCACCGGAGAGCGGAACGACCACGCCGUAAAACACCCAAUUUUUUAAGGUUGACCUCGGAUCAGGUAGGAAUACCCGCUGAACUUAA
rnacentral:misc_RNA from 1 species